rnacentral:rRNA from 1 species
AGAGUUUCAUUCUGGCUCAGGAUGAACGCUGGCGGCGUGCUUAACACAUGCAAGUCGAACGAAGCACCUGAGAAUGAUUCUUCGGAUGAAGUCUCUUGUGACUGAGUGGCGGACGGGUGAGUAACGCGUGGGUAACCUGCCUCACACAGGGGGAUAACAGUUGGAAACGACCGCUAAUACCGCAUAACCCGCUGGUGCCGCAUGGCACUGACGGAAAAGAUUUUAUCGGUGUGAGAUGGACCCGCGUCUGAUUAGCCAGUUGGCAGGGUAACGGCCUACCAAAGCGACGAUCAGUAGCCGGCCUGAGAGGGUGAACGGCCACAUUGGGACUGAGACACGGCCCAGACUCCUGCGGGAGGCAGCAGUGGGGAAUAUUGCACAAUGGGGGAAACCCUGAUGCAGCGACGCCGCGUGAGUGAAGAAGUAUUUCGGUAUGUAAAGCUCUAUCAGCAGGGAAGAAAAUGACGGUACCUGAUUAAGAAGCCCCGGCUAACUACGUGCCAGCAGCCGCGGUAAUACGUAGGGGGCAAGCGUUAUCCGGAUUUACUGGGUGUAAAGGGAGCGUAGACGGUGAUGCAAGUCAGAAGUGAAAGCCCGGGGCUCAACUCCGGGACUGCUUUUGAAACUGUGUGACUGGAGUGCAGGAGAGGUAAGCGGAAUUCCUGGUGUAGCGGUGAAAUGCGUAGAUAUCAGGAGGAACACCAGUGGCGAAGGCGGCUUACUGGACUGUAACUGACGUUGAGGCUCGAAAGCGUGGGGAGCAAACAGGAUUAGAUACCCUGGUAGUCCACGCCGUAAACGAUGA